GUCCACGCCCUAAACGAUGAGUGCUAGAUGUCGGUGGGUAACCGUCGGUGUCGAAGCUAACGCGUUAAGCACUCCGCCUGAGGAGUACGGUCGCAAGAUUAAAACUCAAAUGAAUUGACGGGGACCCCGCACAAGCGGUGGAGCAUGUGGUUUAAUUCGAAGCAACGCGCAGAACCUUACCAGACCUUGACAUGGGUACUAUGAGCUUGGGAAUCUGAGCUCUUCACUUCGGGUGGGUACCACACAGGUGCUGCAUGGCUGUCGU
rnacentral:rRNA from 1 species